rnacentral:lncRNA from 1 species
AUGUCAUAUAUAAUUAUAUGAUGAUGAUGUAGAAUCUACAGUUGUUUCCAGCAUCAUUGUUCCAACAUCGUUGAAAAUGAUGAUGAUGUAGAAUCUACAGUGGUUCUUACUAAACGCAAGAAAGGAUCUGCUUCUGCUGCUCCGAUGAUUUAAAGCAGCUCUUCAUCAAGCAAGUUGAGGAUUAAGUAUAUGAGGAUAAGGCUACUCUUCAAGAGCUGAAGAUGUAUUUUGAUGGACUGCAUCUUGGUCUGUUCACGAGAGACCAGGUUUCCAGAAACCUGAUGGCGAUGCCUUCAACUUCCGUGGAGUUCAUGGCGAUGGUCAAAGAUAUACACUGAGAGGUUCAGUACUCGAUGGAGUUGAAGCUAAAAGCAUUUAAUUUUUGCUGUUAGAUUCUUAAAUUUCUUGGUGUUGUUGUUAGAUUUUAAAGUUUCGUUGUUCAGUUGUUUAAUACUCGAUGUAAUUGUUGAUCUUUUAUUCUCAUAAUUAAAUUUUAAUCCUAUUAAUCUUUGUGGAGCAUUUUAUUU